UAACAAUGAAUUUCCCACCUGUUUGAGCCA
rnacentral:piRNA from 1 species